ACGGGGCCACCCUUGUGCGCCCUUGUGCGCCUAGGACCGUUGGAAGGUACCAGCGGCUCCGUUAGAAGCACCUUUCCCGUGCUUCUCUCUCGCCGCGCGAUUGUUUCGCGAUUAUUUCGCGAUUGCUCGAUCGAGUCGGCGAGUCUCGUCCAACUAUGCGCAGGAGAUACGCGUGUGAGCUGUUGCUUUAACCGACGACCUUUAAACGGGCUUCCUCAACGGGGCCGGUUGUUCCAACUCCUUGCGUGGACCUAUGAAGCGGACGAAACUAUGAAACUUGAAAAGUUCAAAAUAUUUGUUCUGACGUACUAUUACUGUCGAAUAUCCGUUGUUGCUCGUUGAAAUGCGACACAGUCGGUCAAUGAAAUUAUAUAGAUCAGAAAUAAAUAUUGCAUAAAAUAUA